AACGAACGCUGGCGGCAGGCCUAACACAUGCAAGUCGAACGUGAAGCCACCUUCGGGUGGUGGAAAGUGGCAGACGGGUGAGUAACGCUUGGGAACGUGCCUUUCGGUUCGGAAUACCCCAGGGAAAUUUGGGCUAAUACCGAAUACGCUCUUCGGGGGAAAGAUUCAUUGCCGAAAGAUCGGCCCGCGUCGGAUUAGCUUGUUGGUGGGGUAAUGGCCUACCAAGGCGACGAUCCGUAGCUGGUCUGAGAGGAUGAUCAGCCACACUGGGACUGAGACACGGCCCAGACUCCUACGGGAGGCAGCAGUGGGGAAUAUUGCACAAUGGGCGAAAGCCUGAUGCAGACAUGCCGCGUGGGUGAAGAAGGCCUUAGGGUUGUAAACCCCUUUCAGCGGGGAAGAUAAUGACGGUACCCGCAGAAGAAGUCCCGGCUAACUCCGUGCCAGCAGCCGCCGUAAUAC
rnacentral:rRNA from 1 species